rnacentral:rRNA from 1 species
CCCUUAGAUGUUCGGGGCCGCACGCGCGCUACACUGAAGGAAUCAGCGUGCUCUUGCCCUGGUCUGGAAAGACUGGGUAACCCGUUGAACCUCCUUCGUGCUAGGGAUUGGGGCUUGCAAUUAUUCCCCAUGAACGAGGAAUUCCCAGUAAGCGCAAGUCAUCAGCUUGUGUUGAUUACGUCCCUGCCCUUUGUACACACCGCCCGUCGCUACUACCGAUUGAAUGGUUUAGUGAGACCCUCGGAUUCGUCCCAGCACAGUGGGUUUCUGCUGAGCUGGUGCGCGGAGAAGACGGUCGAACUUGAUCAUUUAGAGGAAGUAAAAGUCGUAACA